rnacentral:lncRNA from 1 species
CUCAGCCCAGCCGCAGGAAGAUUGUAGUGCCCUAGCCAGCCAUCCCCCACACUGCCCUCCUGAGCUGCCUGUUUACCUACAUGGGGCUGACCUACCAUCGUCUCCAUCCUGCAGAACCCAAGCUCCAAGGGGGUGCCAAGGCCUCUGCGUUUGCUCUGUCCAUGGUGCCUGACACAGAGUGGAUGCUUGAUGAAUAUUUGUUGAGUGAACCAAAGAAUCAUGAAAUCAUUAAUCCUCAUUGGUGUCCUCCUGUGCCCCUGGCAGGCAUUCUAGUCAGCCAUGUUACUCUUCAUCUGCUAAAUCUGAACUAAGACUCAGAAAAAAUUGUGACACAGCUCUGUAGGCACUUUAUACCCAAAGUGUGACCACCGACCAUAAAGUUAGCCCCACCAGAGACUUACAGAAUGCUAAUUCUCAGGUCCACUCAGACCUACUGUAUCAGAAGAGAUUUUAACAGGGUCCCAGCAGAUUCCUGUGGUUAUAGACAUGUGAGAAACUGCACUCUGGAGAUGCAUGCAGUAGGCAGUUUGGCUUGGUCGUAGAAGCAGUCUUCUAUGCCUCUUCUUUCUCUUCCACUUCCCUGUGGAUGUGGAGCAGUGGCUUCUGCACUGGCCUGUGACUGGCCUCAAUGCAGUUAAUGUGGAGCACUUCAUAGAGAAUGAACUGCAGGAAUUUGAAAAUAAAGGAAAUUUGUUUUGCUG